AUAUUGGACAAUGGGGGAAACCCUGAUCCAGCGACGCCGCGUGACUGAAGAAGUAUUUCGGUAUGUAAAGGUCUAUCAGCAGGGAAGAAAAUGACGGUACCUGACUAAGAAGCCCCGGCUAACUACGUGCCAGCAGCCGCGGUAAUACGUAGGGGGCAAGCGUUAUCCGGAUUUACUGGGUGUAAAGGGAGCGUAGACGGCGAAGCAAGUCUGAAGUGAAAGCCCGGGGCUCAACCCCGGAAUUGCUUUGGAAACUGUUUUGCUGGAGUGCAGGAGAGGCUAGCGGAAUUCCUAGUGUAGCGGUGAAAUGCGUAGAUAUUAGGAGGAACACCAGUGGCGAAGGCGGCUUGCUGGACUGUAACUGACGUUGAGGCUCGAAAGCGUGGGGAGCAAACAG
rnacentral:rRNA from 1 species